GGCUGCUUAAGACGGAAGCUCGGUUGAUGUUUCUGCAGAAGUUUUCCCCCUUGGUCGGUGGCGGAGCUGCUGAGCGCGAUAGUAGCAGCUCCGGCGGCAGCAACAUUGACUACGAGGAAUGGCGGCGGCUGCCGCAGGACCUGCAGCAUCCCAGAGGUUUUUCCAGAGCUUCUCAGAUGCUCUAAUCGACCAGGACCCCCAGGCGGCGUUAGAGUAGAGACGGGGUUUCACCAUGUUAGCCAGACUAGUCUCGAUCUGCUGACCUCGUGAUCCACCUGCCUUGGCCUCCCAAAGUGCUGGGAUUACAGGCAUGAGCCACCAUGCCUGGCCAAAAACCCAUCUUUUUCUACAUAGUUGCUGUUGCUGAUGUAAAGAAGUCUCGUGAACUCAAUCCAAAUAAUUCCACUGCUGUGCUGAGAAAAGGGUAUGCAAUAGCUACUCUUUUUGUUGAGCUUGGACUGUAAAUAAUAGAUGUUUAAUUUGUUGAAUGAGUUCAUUGUAAGCUUUAUAAGUAGUAAAAUUAUUUAUACAUAUUAUAGCAGAGAUAUGAUUCAAUUUUAAAUAUAAAGUUAUAGUUCUAUUAUUUUGUUAACCAUAAUAUGUGAUAGGAGAUCUAUACUUAAUAUAUUUUAAAAUAGUGAUGAUUGAAAUAACUGCAGGGUAUAGAUGAAACUGAUGCAUUUCACAUUCCUUUUUUGUUUAUCAUUUGGAAUUUACUCUAUUUAACUGACUGGUGAACAUCCUAUUAUUCAACCAAGCUGAAUAGGCUACAUUUAAUGCUAUGAAAGCUCUGUAUCUAUGUGCUUUAUAUCCCAUCUUGUUUCUGUUGAUAAGUGUAACUUUAUUCUUUAAGUAAGAAACUGCUUUAAUUCCUUUGUAUAAUUAUAUUUUGGAAUAAGCAAGUAUGUAUAAUUAAAGUGAAAUUCCUUCUGAAGUAAGUUCUAAAAUUGAAUUUUACUGGAAAUUAUACUAGAUGUUAACAGUAUUUUAGAAAGUCUCUUGGCUUACUAACAUAUGCUUAAAAUAAAUUUUUUCUUUCAACAAUAGAAAA
ensembl:lncRNA SUGT1P3 SUGT1 pseudogene 3